GUGCUUGCUUCGACAGCACAUAUACUAAAAUUGGAACGAUACAGAGAUUAGCAUGGCCCCUUUGCAAGGAUGACACGCAAAUUCGUGAAGCAUUCCAUAUUUUU
rnacentral:snRNA from 1 species